ensembl:lncRNA
CCUGAGGCCAGCACUGCUGCAGGUGUUUCAGAAGCUCGGCUGUGAGAUGGCCAACAGUCCUGGAGGCAAAGUUCCAGCCAGUCUCUCCCUGGUUUUUCAGCUGUUGUGUCUGAUGCAGACAGGUGUCUCAACAGAACAGGAAAUGGACGGCACAGACUUCAAAUUGUUGUACCACGUGAGUAACCUUGCAGGAAAGGUGAGAGCCAAUUGUAUUGAGGCUCUUUUGCCAGCAAUCAACUACCUGUACUGCUGCCUUGCCCUCUGUCCCCCACACUGCACUGACAGAGCUGUCUCCAUGCUUCUGUGUAACUCUGGAUUGAUGGAUCAGGUUCAGGCAGUGGUGGACCACUCUUCCUCCUCCUCCUUGUCCAUGUCCUCCAUGUCUCCACUCUCAGCUCUGCUGUGCUGCUGUCAUCUGUUUCUUUCCUCCCUCAUCACCCUGCAGCAUCAGCACAAAGCACAGGUAUCCACACACAUAUAAACACAUACUAUUCACACUUCAAACACAAAUUAAUCCAUGACGGAUAUAUACAGUCAAAU